CAAGUCCCCGUCCUGGAAGCCCUGGCGCGGCACCAGGUACUGAGUGUUGCGUUGGCCUCGGUAACGAUGUCAGCGAAGCGUACACAAGGAGGUGAUGGGCCACAAUGCGUAAGCGUGAAGGGAUAGAGCCCCGUUAUGAGAAUAAAUCGUGGAUGCUGACGUGUUUAGAACAGCGGAAGGCAACACCAAAGGAGCCAAUCGCCAUGGCUCCCGAGGGUCCACCGGGGUCAGAGACCG
rfam:Phormidesmis priestleyi Ana ITZX_scaf_949, whole genome shotgun sequence.